CCUACGGGCGGCAGCAGUGAGGAAUAUUGGUCAAUGGACGAGAGUCUGAACCAGCCAAGUAGCGUGAAGGAUGACUUCCCUAUGGGUUGUAAACUUCUUUUAUAUGGGAAUAAAAUGUUCCACGUGUGGGAUUUUGUAUGUACCAUAUGAAUAAGGAUCGGCUAACUCCGUGCCAGCAGCCGCGGUAAUACGGAGGAUCCGAGCGUUAUCCGGAUUUAUUGGGUUUAAAGGGAGCGUAGGUGGAUUGUUAAGUCAGUUGUGAAAGUUUGCGGCUCAACCGUAAAAUUGCAGUUGAAACUGGCAGUCUUGAGUACAGUAGAGGUGGGCGGAAUUCGUGGUGUAGCGGUGAAAUGCGUAGAUAUCACGAAGAACUCCGAUUGCGAAGGCAGUUCACUGGACUGCAACUGACACUGAGGCUCGAAAGUGUGGGUAUCAAACAGGAUUAGAUACCCCUGUAGUC
rnacentral:rRNA from 1 species